UGAGGUUGCCUUGAUCGAGUAGGA
rnacentral:siRNA from 1 species